GAUCCUGCUCAGAUUGAACGCUGGCGGCAGGCUUAACACAUGCAAGUCGAACGGUAACAUAAAGGAGCUUGCUUCUUUGAUGACGAGUGGCGGACGGGUGAGUAAUGCUUGGGAAUCUAGCUUAUGGAGGGGGAUAACUACGGGAAACUGUAGCUAAUACCGCGUAGAAUCGGGAGAUGAAAGUGUGGGACCUUCGGGCCACAUGCCAUAGGAUGAGCCCAAGUGGGAUUAGGUAGUUGGUG
rnacentral:rRNA from 1 species